rnacentral:rRNA from 1 species
GACGAACGCUGGCGGCGUGCUUAACACAUGCAAGUCGAACGGAAAGGCCCUGCUUUUGUGGGGUGCUCGAGUGGCGAACGGGUGAGUAACACGUGAGUAACCUGCCCUUGACUUUGGGAUAACUUCAGGAAACUGGGGCUAAUACCGGAUAGGAGCUCCUGCUGCAUGGUGGGGGUUGGAAAGUUUCGGCGGUUGGGGAUGGAUUCGCGGCUUAUCAGCUUGCUGGUGGGGUAGUGGCUUACCAAGGCUUUGACGGGUAGCCGGCCUGAGAGGGUGACCGGCCACAUUGGGACUGAGAUACGGACCAGACUCCUACGGGAGGCAGCAGUGGGGAGUAUUGCACAAUGGGCGGAAGCCUGAUGCAGCAACGCCGCGUGCGGGAUGACGGCCUUCGGGUUGUAAACCGCUUUCGCCUGUGACGAAGCGUGAGUGACGGUAAUGGGUAAAGAAGCACCGGCUAACUACGUG